UAAUAUGUAAUUUCUACCCGUCGAUGAUUGUGUGAAUUCUCUCUUGAUUCACAACAAUUGGUAUCGGUGCAUUUGGCGAGAGAUCCUAGAGCUGUGGUGUUGUGUGUGCGCUUCUGCUGUGAGAGAUUCCGGCUAUAUAAGGCCGGUUGUGAAAGGAUGUCGGAGGAUGGUUCACGUGCCUCCAGAAGACGGCGUUAACGGCCAUCUUGGCGGACGUGCUGUCAUGCAUCGUCUCAAUUAUUCAUCCUAGAUUUUCAAAGGAUCUCGCGAGUUAUCGCGAUACAUUGGAGCUGAGCGUGAGCCGAGAGAGGAGGAGAAGCUGAGAUGAAGGAAGCAAAGCGAGAGGAAGAGACGAGCUGCAAGAUGAUGGUGUUUUAGCCAAUCAGUGAGUAUUUUUGCAAUGUAUUCGCGGCACGUAGCGAUAUAUUGACUGAUGGUAGAUAUAUUGAUGGAAAAGUGGAUUUAUUCACGGUGAAUUCAUUUUUUUCAUGCAAUAUAUUAGCGGGCUAAGCGAGAAGUUGGCAGUUUAGGAGUUCUCAGACGAGAUACCGAAGUUGGAGAGAGUGGGCCCAGUGUGGAGUUUUUUCGGACCAUCCCUUUUAAGAGUUCUGCUGCAGAAGAGAGUUAGAAGAGUGAAGAGAUAGUGAGAGGAGAGAGAGGGUCCUCAAAUGUCUAGACAGAGGCGGAAACAAAAAAAAAUGAGAGAAAGUUUCCGAAAGAAGUGGAGGAUGUAGAACGCCAGAGCACGGUAAGAGAGAGAGAGAGAGAGAGAGAGAGAACAAACCAACACAAGGUUGUUCGGCGCUCAAAAAAAAAAAAAGGAGGAGAGAAGAAGAGAGAGAAGAGGAGAAGCAGUAGAAGACAACGAGAUUGUCGAGCGAGCAGAGAAGAGUUGGGACAAAGGAUGGAGUCUCGGACGGUAAUAAUUAAGUUUAAGGGGAGAGUGUUGGAAUAUUAAACUUAAUUAUUAUUGGUCAUGUGUGAGUGUGCAAGAGAAAGGGACAAAUUAAUGAGGGAGCUAGCUGGUAAAUGAGAGUAGGGUUGGCUUGUGAUUUGGCUGUGAGACAAAGAGACAAGAUGAGAGUUGGAGAUUGAAGAGAGGGGCCUAGCCCAUCUAUAUAUUUCGGUGAGUUAAGAUGCCAGUUGAGAGAAUGAGUGGAUGAGAGUGUGCUUUGGUUUCUAUAUGUACGUGUCUGUGUGUUAUGUAGAGUUGUGGGAUAAGAGAGAGUUAGAGAACAGAGAAGUGAGAGAGAUCGGGAAGCCCCUGAGGGGGUCUCCCCCACCAACAGUGGAGUAAAUUGUGUAUGUGAGAGUUAUGUGUAUGUAAUUUGUAUGUUUUCGUUUGAGAAAUAAAUAAAAGUAGUUUUAUGAUUGUGUUAA